rnacentral:rRNA from 1 species
AUGAGCUCACCAUCCUCUUGCAUCGCGCUCUCCAUUCCUCUCAUCAUCUUCUUUAUGCUCAAACGUCAUGGCGGGCGCCAGAAACUCCCACCUGGUCCGCCAGCCCUGCUGUUCAUAGCCAAGUUGUUGUUGAUGCUUAAGAGCCCGAUCUACCAUUUGGGCCCUGUGCUACGCAGCUUGCAUGCCUGCUACGGCCCCAUCGUCUCCGUCUGUCUCGGGCGAACCUUCGUUUUCGUGGCCGACCGCCACCUCACGCAUAGCGCCCUCGUCAAGGGCGGCGGCAACUUCGACACCCGCCCACCGCCCAGCAAGCUUUUUACCCUGUUUUUAGGGGGCUCCAUGUCCGCCUCUCCCCUUGGGCCCUAUUUUCGUCUGGUCCGCCGCAACCUGCACUCCCAGGCGCUGCACCCGUCCCGCGUCAGGCUCUUGGCGCCGGUCAGGCAGCGCGUGUGCGACGCGCUCGUUGGCUCGCUGCGCCGCGAUCGCGAUGCAGCGUCCCAGGGCACUGUUACGGUGAGGCCGUUGAUGGCGCGCUGUUUGUUCGAUCUGCUCACGAGCAUGACAUUCGGCGUCACGCUUGGCCAAGAGGCGCUGGACGAGAUGCAACAGAUGCAGCUCCAGAUUUCCGACGGCAUCAACAGGUUCCCCGUCUUAUCCAUCUUCCAGCCCAUCACCAAGAGGCUACUGCGGAAGGAGUGGGCGCUGAACGUGGCGCUACGGGAGAGGCAGAAGGGGCUGAUGCUGCCGCUGAUCCACGCGCGCCGCGGCCACGAUGGCGCUCAAUGCUACGCUGACUCCCUCCUCGAGCUGCGUGUGGCAGAAGAAGGCGGUCGCCCGCUCACGGACGACGAGAUGGUAAGCCUCUGCUCCGAGUUCAUGAUUGCCUCAACCGACACUUCGGUGGCCUUGCUGGAGUGGAUCAUGGCGGACCUCGUAAACCACCCCGACGUCCAAGCCAAGUUGUACGAGGAGGUGAGGGGCAAGCCUGAGCUCAGCGAGGAGGAGCUGAGCGGGAUGCCAUACCUCAAAGCCAUCGUGCUGGAGGCGCUGCGGCUGCACCCUACGGCACACUUAGUCUUCCCGCACGGCAUGCAGAGCGACACAGAGAUUGGUGGAUACAUGGUGCCCAAGGGCGUCGACAUCAACUUCUUGGUGUCCGACUUUGGGCUUGACGAGACCGUGUGGCCGGCGGCGCGGGAGUUCCGGCCUGAGCGGUUCUUGCACGACCACGGCGUGGACAUCACGUGUACCAAGGAGAUCAAGAUGGCCCCUUUUGGUGCCGGUCGAAGGAUGUGCCCGGGCUACGUGCUCGCCACACUGCAUGCGGAGUACUUCGUGGGCAGCCUCGUGAGGGAGUUCCAAUGGCUGCCGCCAGGUGGACAAGACACUGUCGACAUGACGGAGGAGCUAGCUAUGGCCAUCAACAUGAAGCACCCGCUCCGUGCUCGCAUCAUCCCAAGGGCUUAA